AGAGCUAAUACAUGCCACGAAGCCCUGACCCCGCUCGCCGGGGAAUGGGUGCACUUAUUAGAACAGAAGCCAACCAGCACUUGCAUUCCUUCGGGAGUGUAUGGGCUGCAGCACUUCUGGUGACUCUGGAUAAUUGUUACAGAUCGCAGUCGGCUUUACGUCGGCGACGGGUCCUUCAAAUGUCUGCCCUAUCAACUUUCGAUGGUAGGUGACCUGCCUACCAAGGUGAUAACGGGUAACGGGGAAUCAGGGUUCGAUUCCGGAGAGGGAGCCUGAGAAACGGCUACCACUUCCAAGGGAGGCAGCAGGCGCGCAAAUUACCCACUCCCGGUACGGGGAGGUGGUGACGAAAAAUACCGAUGCGGGACUCAUUAACGAGGCUCUGUAAUCGGAAUGAGUGGACUCUAAAUCCUUUCACGAGGAUCAAUUGGAGGGCAAGUCUGGUGCCAGCAGCCGCGGUAACUCCAGCUCCAAUAGCGUAUAUUAAAGUUGCUGCAGUUAAAAAGCUCGUAGUUGGAUCUCGGUAGCACUGUUGCCUGCUUAGUUGUCAUGCGCUGCGGUGUGCUGCUUAUCGUGUGUGUGUGUGUGUGUGUGUGGGUGCUUGUACUGCCCAUCUCUUCGGGUGCGGCGUAUGAGUAUCGCGCGUACGCGCGCGCGCGCGGUGGUUGUACGAAAAAACUGUAGUGCACUGAGCUGGCAUGGCGAUGGUGUCACCUUUGAGCCAUGUCUGUGGUGUAACAGCCACAGGUGUAAUCGAGUGUCGGGCAGUGCUCUGCACUAGUUGUAGGGCCUAGUCGGCUCGUUUGCAUGCCAAUGAAUGCCCUUCAAAAGGUGUUCAUGGGCGGAUGGCACGUUUACUUUGAACAAAUUUGAGUGCUCAAAUCAGGCCGAUGUUGCCUGAAAAGUUUUGCAUGGAAUAAUGGAAUAGGACUUCGGUUCUAUUUCGUUGGUUUUCGGAUCCGAAGUAAUGAUCAAAAGAGACAGGCGGGGACGUUUGUAUGGCUGCGCUAGAGGUGAAAUUCAUGGACCGUAGCCAGCCAAACUAAAGCGAAAGCAUUCGUCAAGCAUGUUUUCAUUGGCCAUGAGCGAAAGUCAGAGGCUCGAAGACGAUCAGAUACCGUCCUAGUUCUGACCAUAAACGAUGCCAACUGACGAUCCGUGGCGGUAGUCUACAAACCUUCCCCACGGGCAGUCCCCGGGAAACCUUUAAGUCUUUGGGUUCCGGGGGAAGUAUGGUUGCAAAGCUGAAACUUAAAGGAAUUGACGGAAGGGCACCACCAGGAGUGGAGCCUGCGGCUUAAUUUGACUCAACACGGGAAAACUCACCCGGGCCGGACACUAUGAGGAUUGACAGAUUGAUAGCUCUUUCUUGAUUUGGUGGUUGGUGGUGCAUGGCCGUUCUUAGUUGGUGGAGCGAUUUGUCUGGUUAAUUCCGAUAACGAACGAGACUCCAGCCUGCUAAUUAGAGCAUUUGUCCACUGUAUCAGCCAAGCGGCACGGCUUUCAACUGCUCGAGUUCAGUGCGGUGUCCAGUGCGUCUCUGUGUAGGCUGCGCGUGCGGCUCUGCUGCUGCGUUGGCUUGCGUUGGGGCGUAUUUGGCCUGCAUAAUGUGCUCAGGCGGAUGGUGCUGAGUUAGCUAGCAGGUACGGCGCGAAUGCUUACUUCUUAGAGGGACACGCGGGAAGAAACCGCAUGAAAUAGAGCAAUAACAGGUCUGUGAUGCCCUUAGAUGUCCGGGGCCGCACGCGCGCUACAAUGGCGAUGUCAACGAGUCAGACCUUCUGGCCUGAAAAGGUUGGGUAAACUGGUCAAUCAUCGUCAUGACAGGGAUCGGGGCUUGGAAUUGUUCCCCGUGAACGAGGAAUUCCUAGUAAGUGCAAGUCAUAAGCUUGCGCUGAUUACGUCCCUGCCCUUUGUACACACCGCCCGUCGCUACUACCGAUUGAAUGGUUUAGUAAGGUCCUUGGAUUGGCGCCAUUUAGGUGCUGCGCCGAAAGGUGCGUACCUAGCCGGUGCUGAGAAGACGACCAAACUUGAUCAUUUAGAGGAAGU
rnacentral:rRNA from 1 species